AAAACGGUGCAUUUAGCCGAAAUCUAAACAAAGCAAAAAAUUUUCUUAAGUCCUAAACUGUACACAACUCACCAUCGCCAUCGUCAUUCUGACUCUCGCAAAGGCCACUCAAACCCGAGGCACGUUCAUCGUCACUCUCACUCCACAAUCAGCACUGUAACCUUAGCCACAAUCAUCGUGACACUCUCAAUCAAUUAGCCUACACUCACCAUAGUCAUUAUCACUCUCACUCUCACAAACGACAUUCAAACCCUAGGCACAAUUAUCAUCACUCUCACUUUCACAAUUAGCACUCAAAACCUAGCCAAAUCCAUUCCCUAUAUAUAGUUUUCCAUACACAAUCAGCAACUACCACCAUCGAGCAAACGACAAAGCAACACCCAAAUCACAGACCCAUGACAAAAUUCAAGCCGGUUACCAUGACCACAAAUUGCGAUGGCGUGACGCAACCAGAACCAUCAACUCCCUGACUUUGUCACGUGAACUAGAGGAUUGCAGCCCUAAACCUUGAAUUCCAGGUUUUGUUUUUCUUCUUCAUCUAAUUUUGUUUAAAGCCCUAAGUGGUUGAGAGAAAUUUUGUAUUUUGGAGAGUUUGUGAGUAAGUGACUGACUGAUUGACUAAAUGAAAUGAUGGGUUUGGUUAAGAAGUUGCAUUAGAU
rnacentral:lncRNA from 1 species